rnacentral:piRNA from 1 species
CACUAUGUGGCCCAAAUUAUCCUUAAACU